CCUUUGCUACCUGUGGAGCUGAAGGAAGGCUCUGGAGACACUGCCAUCAUCUAAAAUGUGUGCAGAGAAGAACACGUGGUUGGGCUACAUCAUGUAACAGAGGAGACCAGAUCAGUCAAAAUAGCUGAAACAGUUGCUUUGCAGCUAAGAAAAGUUGAGGAUAUAGUCCCUUGAACAUCUCUUGCAGGUCCUUCCUCUGCAGCAGGUAUUGCCACAAAUAAAAUGGUGGCUAUGAAACAGGAACAAGUCAUGAGCUUAUUUCCAGCAAAUGGUCAAUAAAAUUAAGAUUGGGUUCCUUUCCAGCAGUAAAAUAUGGAUACAGCUUAAAGCCUGUGACUGUUUCUACAAUUCCUCCCUCCCCAUCCAUGUGUCUCCCUUUCUCUCUGUCCCUCUCUAUCUCACACUGGAGCUCCAUCAAUAAACCUAGGUAAGUU